rnacentral:rRNA from 1 species
UGUUUCGACACACUAUCAUUAACUGAAUCCAUAGGUUAAUGAGGCGAACCGGGGGAACUGAAACAUCUAAGUACCCCGAGGAAAAGAAAUCAACCGAGAUUCCCCCAGUAGCGGCGAGCGAACGGGGAGGAGCCCAGAGCCUGAAUCAGUGUGUGUGUUAGUGGAAGCGUCUGGAAAGGCGCGCGAUACAGGGUGACAGCCCCGUACACAAAAAUGCACAUAUUGUGAGCUCGAUGAGUAGGGCGGGACACGUGGUAUCCUGUCUGAAUAUGGGGGGACCAUCCUCCAAGGCUAAAUACUCCUGACUGACCGAUAGUGAACCAGUACCGUGAGGGAAAGGCGAAAAGAACCCCGGCGAGGGGAGUGAAAAAGAACCUGAAACCGUGUACGUACAAGCAGUGGGAGCCUCUUAAUGGGGUGACUGCGUACCUUUUGUAUAAUGGGUCAGCGACUUAUAUUCUGUAGCAAGGUUAACCGAAUAGGGGAGCCGAAGGGAAACCGAGUCUUAACUGGGCGUUAAGUUGCAGGGUAUAGACCCGAAACCCGGUGAUCUAGCCAUGGGCAGGUUGAAGGUUGGGUAACACUAACUGGAGGACCGAACCGACUAAUGUUGAAAAAUUAGCGGAUGACUUGUGGCUGGGGGUGAAAGGCCAAUCAAACCGGGAGAUAGCUGGUUCUCCCCGAAAGCUAUUUAGGUAGCGCCUCGUGAAUUCAUCUCCGGGGGUAGAGCACUGUUUCGGCAAGGGGGUCAUCCCGACUUACCAACCCGAUGCAAACUGCGAAUACCGGAGAAUGUUAUCACGGGAGACACACGGCGGGUGCUAACGUCCGUCGUGAAGAGGGAAACAACCCAGACCGCCAGCUAAGGUCCCAAAGUCAUGGUUAAGUGGGAAACGAUGUGGGAAGGCCCAGACAGCCAGGAUGUUGGCUUAGAAGCAGCCAUCAUUUAAAGAAAGCGUAAUAGCUCACUGGUCGAGUCGGCCUGCGCGGAAGAUGUAACGGGGCUAAACCAUGCACCGAAGCUGCGGCAGCGACACUAUGUGUUGUUGGGUAGGGGAGCG